UUAUUGUUUGAAGUUGCAGCAAUCUGUAUUACAUCUGAGGUUCUAUCUGGAAAAAAAAAUUAGUUUAGUUUUUCUUAUUUCAAUAUUUCUCAAUAAAUACAAAAUAUGUUACCUGCUAAUUCAAUAGUUUUAGCAAUGUAUGGAUUAAUCUUAUUACCAAAAUGAACCGAAAAGGAAAAGAAAAAAACUAAUUAUUUUUUUCAUGAUUUAUUAUUCUAAUAUUGUGUUUACAAUAUCUAAUGUUCACUUUUCUUUUUUAGUUUUUCAUGUGAGGGUCUGUUAAAGCCUCCUGUGUGAUAUAGGUUAUUUUCAUUGUUGAAGUCUGUAUGAUUGCCUAUAACUGCCUACUUUCACUUCAUUUGAACUUUGGGGGGAUACAGUCUCAUUGGUAAUCAUACCACAUCUCCAUUUUUUAUGUAGACAGUUUAAGAAAUUUGUAUGGGCAAUUUUCCUGCUGUGAUAUACAUUUAUCUCUAACUUUAAUAUUUGAGUGAUAUAUAUAUUAUAGUAUUACUUCAAAAAGAAGAAUGAAAAGCUGGUUCCAUGUGCAAUAACCAAUAUACAAUGUAUAUAAGCAUAUAAAGUUUUCAUAUAAUUUAUUUUAUCAUAUACUUAGCAUUAAUAUGAUAGCUUUAAUUUGCAUAUGUGUAAUGAACGGAAGCCAUAAAGUACACAAGCCAUAAUUUCCCACCCGGUCUGUUAACCCAUAUCAGGGGCCUCUCGUGCAAGUUACUUCCGGUAUUUCCGGUAUCGUCUGUUUAAUUUUCCAUUGUGGCGUCAGAUAUUUUUAGCUCACCUGGCCCGAAGGGCCAAGUGAGCUUUUCUCAUCACUUGGCGUCCGUCGUCCGUCGUCGUCGUUAACUUUUUACAUUUUUAACUUCUUCUAGAGAACCACUGAAUGGAAUGAAACCAAACAUGGCAUGCAUGUUCCUUAUCAGGUGCUGACCAAGUGUUGUUACUUUGUAGCGGAUCCCUCAUCCAAGAUGGCCGCCAGCGGGGGACUUAGUUUAACAUAGGACCAUAUGGGAAAUACAUACAAAUGUCUUCUUUUAGAGAACCAUUGAAUGGAAUGAAACCAAACAUGGCAUGAAUGUUCCUUAUGAGGUGCUUACCAAGUGUUGUUACUUUGAAGCUGAUCCAUUAUCCAAGAUAGCCGCCAGCGGGGGACUUAGUUUAACAUAGGACCCUAUGGGAAAUACAUACAAAUGUCUUCUUUUAGAGAACCACUGAAUGGAAUGAAACCAAACAUGGUAUGAAUGUUCCUUAUGAGGUGCUGACCGAGUGUUGUUACUUUGAAGCCGAUCCAUAAUCCAAGAUGGCCGCCAGUGGGGGACUUAGUUUAACAUUGGACCCUAUGGGAAAUACAUACAAACGUCUUUUUUUAGAGAACCACUGAAUGGAAUGAAACCAAACAUGGCAUGAAUGUUCCUUAUGAGGUGCUUACCAAGUGUUGUUACUAUGAAGCCGAUCCAUAAUCCAAGAUGGCUGCCAGCGGGGGACUUAGUUUAACAUAGGACCCUAUGGGAAAUACAUACAAAUGUCUUCUUUUAGAGAACCACUGAAUGGAAUGAAACCAAACAUGACAUGAAUGUUCCUUAUGAGGUACUGACCAAGUGUUGUUACUAUGAAGCCGAUCCAUAAUCCAAGAUGGCCGCCAGCGGGGGACUUAGUUUAACAUUGGACCCUAUAGGAAAUACUGUCAUACAAAUGUCUUCUUUUAGAGAACCACUGAAUGGAAUGAAACCAAACAUGGCAUGAAUGUUUCUAAUGAGGUGCUGACCGAGUGUUGUUACUUUGAAGCCGAUCCAUAAUCCAAGAUGGCCGCCAGCAGGGGACUUAGUUUAACAUGGGACCCUAUGAGAAAUACAUACAAAUGUCUUCUUUUAGAGAACCACUGAAUGGAAUGAAACCAAACAUUGCAUGAAUGUUCCUUAUGAGGUGCUGACCGAGUGUUGUUACUUUGAAGCCGAUCCAUAAUCCAAGAUGGCUGCCAGCGGGGGACUUAGUUUAACAUUGGACCCUAUGGGAAACAAUACAAACGUCUUCUUUUAGAACCACUGAAUGGAAUGAAACCAAACAUGGCAUGAAUGUUCCUUAUGAGGUGCUUACCAAGUGUUGUUACUAUGAAGCCGAUCCAUAAUACAAGAUGGCCGCCAGCGGGGGACUUAGUUUAACAUAGGACCCUAUGGGAAAUACAUACAAAUGUCUUCUUUUAGAGAACCACUGAAUGGAAUGAAACCAAACAUGGUAUGAAUGUUCCUUAUGAGGUGCUGACCGAGUGUUGUUACUUUGAAGCCGAUCCAUAAUCCAAGAUGGCCGCCAGCGGGGGACUUAGUUUAACAUGGGACCCUAUGGGAAUUGCAUACAAAUGUCUUCUUUUAGAGAACCACUGAAUGGAAUGAAACCAAACAUGGCAUGAAUGUUCCUUAUGAGGUGCUGACCAAGUGUUGUUCCUAUAAAGCUGAUCCAUAAUCCAAGAUGGCCGCUAGCAGGGGACUUAGUUUAGCAUGGGACCCUAUGAGAAAUACAUACAAAUGUCUUCUUUUAGAGAACCACUGAAUGGAAUGAAACCAAACAUGGCAUGAAUGUUCCUUAUGAGGUGCUGACCGAGUGUUGUUACUUUGAAGCCGAUCAAUAAUCCAAGAUGGCCGCCAGCGGGGGACUUCGUUUAACAUUGGACCCUAUGGGAAAUACAUACAAACGUCUUUUUUUAGAGAACCACUGAAUGGAAUGAAACCAAACAUGGCAUGAAUGUUCCUUAUGAGGUGCUUACCAAGUGUUGUUACUAUGAAGCCGAUCCAUAAUCCAAGAUGGCUGCCAGCGGGGGACUUAGUUUAACAUAGGACCCUAUGGGAAAUACAUACAAAUGUCUUCUUUUAGAGAACCACUGAAUGGAAUGAAACCAAACAUGACAUGAAUGUUUCUUAUGAGGUACUGACCAAGUGUUGUUACUAUGAAGCCGAUCCAUAAUCCAAGAUGGCCGCCAGCAGGGGACUUAGUUUAACAUUGGACCCUAUAGGAAAUACUGUCAUACAAAUGUCUUUUUUUAGAGAACCACUGAAUGGAAUGAAACCAAACAUGGCAUGAAUGUUUCUAAUGAGGUGCUGACCGAGUGUUGUUACUUUGAAGCCGAUCCAUAAUCCAAGAUGGCUGCCAGCGGGGGACUUAGUUUAACAUUGGACCCUAUGAGAAAUACAUACAAAUGUCUUCUUUAGAGAACCACUGAAUGGAAUGAAACCAAACAUUGCAUGAAUGUUCCUUAUGAGGUGCUGACCGAGUGUUGUUACUUUGAAGCCGAUCCAUAAUCCAAGAUGGCUGCCAGCGGGGGACUUAGUUUAACAUUGGACCCUAUGGGAAACACUACAAACGUCUUCUUUUAGAACCACUGAAUGGAAUGAAACCAAACAUGGCAUGAAUGUUCCUUAUGAGGUGCUUACCAAGUGUUGUUACUAUGAAGCCGAUCCAUAAUCCAAGAUGGCUGCCAGCGGGGGACUUAGUUUAACAUAGGACCCAUGGGAAAUACAUACAAAUGUCUUCUUUUAGAGAACCACUGAAUGGAAUGAAAUCAAACAUGAGAUGAAUGUUCCUUAUGAGGUACUGACCAAGUGUUGUUACUUUGAAGCUGAUCCAUCAUCCAAGAUGGCCGCCAGCGGGGGGCUUAGUUUAACAUAGGACCCUAUGGGAAAAACAUACAAAUGUCUUCUUUUAGAGAACCACUGAAUGCAAUGAAACCAAACAUGACAUGAAUGUUCCUUAUGAGGUACUGACCAAGUGUUGUUACUUUGAAGCUGAUCCAUCAUUUAAGAUGGCCGCCAGCGGGGGACUUAGUUUAACAUAGGACCCUACGGGAAAUACAUACAAAUGUCUUCUUUUAGAGAACCACUGAAUGCAAUGAAACCAAACAUGGUAUGAAUGUUCCUUAUGAGGUGCUGACCAAGUGUUGUUACUAUGAAGCCGAUCCAUAAUCUAAGAUGGCCGCCAGCGGAGGACUUAGUUUAACAUAGGACCCUACGAGAAAUACAUACAAAUGAUUUCUUUUAGAGAACCAUUGAAUGGAAUGAAACCAAACAUGGCAUGCAGGACCAAUAUUAAACCAAAUUUGGCCUCACUCAUUAUUAGGGUAUCUGUUAUGAUUUUAAUCUAUUUUUACAUGAUUUCCAAAGCCAAAGUAGAAUCAGGUGAGCGACACAGGCUCUUGAGAGCCUUUAGUUUAUUAUGACGUCAAAAUUUUGCGGGAACUUUUGUGAUGUCCAGUAAUGGCGGACAAAUAGCGAUAAGGUGUAUUGGAUCCAGUGGUAAAUUCGUUUGUACAGAACCAGCUGUUAUUGAAAAGCAGAUGUUAACAUGGCUAAAUCCAAUGAUAUAGAUUCUCAAAAUGAUGAUAGUUAAGUACUUGCUAACAAAUGCCAUUGACAAUUAUGAAUCAUCUCAUAGUACAACAGGUAGUAAUAAUGAUCAUUAUAUUUUUAAAAACUGUAAUACUUCUUUGCUUCCAAAUUUUCAAUGUUUCAAAAUGCCUCUAUAGGAAAUGGUAUCAUAAAUAUAUAUGGAGGUAGUGAUGCUAUUGUUGGACAAUGAUAGUGUAUUUGUUGGAUUCAUAAUUUAACUUCUUUAUAAAGUUUUUGACUGUUUUAGUUA